rnacentral:rRNA from 1 species
UACGUAGGGUCCGAGCGUUGUCCGGAAUUAUUGGGCGUAAAGAGCUCGUAGGCGGUUUGUCGCGUCUGCUGUGAAAUCCCGAGGCUCAACCUCGGGCCUGCAGUGGGUACGGGCAGACUUGAGUGCGGUAGGGGAGAAUGGAAUUCCUGGUGUAGCGGUGAAAUGCGCAGAUAUCAGGAGGAACACCGAUGGCGAAGGCAGGUCUCUGGGCCACUACUGACGCUGAGAAGCGAAAGCAUGGGGAGCGAACAGG